rnacentral:lncRNA from 1 species
AUGGUGAAAGUGUUCUGGUGUUUCUUCCUCUAUCGGCCAUGUCAGAGUCCAGUCAGCCUGGGUGAGUGGAAUUCGAUUCGACUGGCAGGCCAACCAGUUCUACAUUCAUUUAAAGAUCAACUUAAGGGGACUAUGAGGGACGGCCCCCUCCCCUCGCCCUCCGGGAGGCUGGAGGAUGGGCAGCCGGUUCCCGCGGCUCCCAGUCUCUGCGCGCGGCCGACCCGUGUCUGCGUCCUCAUUACCACUACAAAGCCGGGCAGACGUCGCCUCUUUCCAGAGCUGCGCUUUCAGCUGCGAACAUCAAGAGGCCAGAAAACAUCCAAGUGGGCCCGAGGACGCAGACGCCGCCUCGGUCCUGGCUUUAUCUCUAGGGAAAGUUCCAUUUUAAGAACCAGAUGCCAACAUUCCCGGACAGUUUAUGGUAUCCGGAUCCCUCGGGGUGCGCAUCCGCGGCUUAGAGUGUUAGCAGCAAUUAUUUAUCGUCUGCCCUGGAGAGGAGGUCCUGAACACGACUGUCCUCGGCGGACCCUGGGGGUGGGGGUGGGGUGGGGACACACGACUGUUCCCGAUCCGGUUAUCUGGUUUAGCAGAGUUUGUUGUGGUUUUCGAGGAAACAGCAUCUGGGUUACAUAAGGAUUCAAGUUUUUGCUUUGCUUGUUUAUUUAAUACCUUGGCAAGAGGGAGCCCUCACUCUGAAACUAGAUAACCGAAUUUGGGUUUAAAACAGCCUUAGAUGAGGGGCAACGAGAGGGGAAGAAAAUGAAUCAAACCACGAAAAGCAAACAAGGGGAUGUUUAUUUUUCUCCCUUUGGGUAGUUUUGAAGACCUGCCUAACCUCUUACUUCUCGUCGCGCACAGCUAAUAAAUCGCAUUAACAAAGCA